UCUAGUCAUGUUCUCUCCCCUCCCCUUCCUCCUGACACACCCACCCACCUCCCUCGACUUCGAUCUAGAUCGGGAAGCCCCGGCCACUGACUCCUCGUCGCCGCCGCCACGAACGCCGGCCAUUUCCCACGAGACCCGGCGGCGCGUAGCACUCCCCUUUCCUCCCCUCCCCCAGCACCUUCCACGCAUCCGGCGCUCGCGGCCUCCAGUCUCACCCGCGGCUAGGGUUCCGCCCCCUGUCCAUUUUUCUGGAGGUCGGGCAUGGCGCGGGCGGGCCAAGCGCCGGAGACGAGGGCGCCGGAUUCGGGGGCAGGGCUCCCUUCUCCUCACGCUACAGCCGCUGGCCUCCUCCUACUCGAGGAGGAGGAGCAGGAGCAGGUGGGGCGCACCUAGCCCCCAAGGCCGCCACCGUCGAGGGCUUCUACGACCUGGAUCCCGACCUCCACGGCGCCAUCGUCCAGCAACUCGAGGUCAAGGAGAAGUCCACUCACAUGAUGUGCCCGUCCAUGGAGAGGAGCAGCAGCAGCUCAAGUUAAAGCACAACAUGAGGCUGCAGCAGAAGCUUGAGGAAUGCAGGGGCUAAUGAUAGUACUCAUCAACCAAAAUUACCGGCGUUGUCAACCAUGCUUUGAACUUUUGGAGAUCAAGAUGUACGGUUGUACCAUGAAGAUUUUUGGUAACUACCUCAACUCUCAUGAGAUGAUUAGCUUAGAAAAUCAAAAUAUUUUCUCAUUAAUUUCAGCUGAUGAGGCACAUAGUUUUGUGCUUGGGGUGCUCAGAAAGAAUAGGAUGCUUUCUUUUUUAUACAUCUCGUGUGCUUAUCCUUGUCUCAGAACAGAAAGGAAAAAAGAAUACUUGGUCUUUACAUGGAAAGGACGCUCCUAUGGUUAUUGUGAUCUCAAAGUUUGCAUAAUUUCUUCUAAUGUUUUAUUUACUCUUUUACUGGCUUCCCUGUCUUUGCUUUUUUAUUUGUGGCGCUUAGUUGCUCACCUGGCAUGCUCUGUUACCCAAGCUGCAGUUUAAGGAUUCAAGUGGCGAUUGCAACCCAAAACAUUGCGAAGAAUCUGCUGCCAGAGGCUUCAUUAUGCACACCUUUUCUUUUUUACAAAAUGGAGUCUGAUCUGCUGUCAUCACAUCAACAGGUAUGCCUACAUUACCAAUGUUUCUACAGUGACAUUUAUUCACACACAAAUGAAGAUAUUCUAAGGUUAGAACGAACAUCACCUUCAGCACCUGGUGUGUAUCGUAGUUGGAUGAUAGCAGAUUGCGCAGUGGGCCUCUCGGCGGUGUGAAAAUCCGGCAAAAGAAACCACCUAAUCAUAUAUUUGAUUAUACUUCUGAUUGCUCAGUCAUAUAUAAAGAAUAGAAUAUAAUGGACAAACCAGGUGAUAUUGCCGCGGGUGUCCUAGAUGGGGUGUGUUCUGCAUUAAGAAUAGUAGAUGUAGCUUUCUUAUGAGCCCUGUUUAGUGCAUACCUCUCCCUUUCCCUUUGUCUCUUCAACUCUUUAGGACCUGCCAUUUGGCCUACGUGGACGAAAUCUUUACGUAGGCUCGAGUUGGUGAUAUAUUUAAGUUACUUACCUGAGUUGGUGAUGUUGAAUAGGUUCUCAAAUGGGGUCUCUAAGUCGUCACGCUGAGUCGUAAUUAUUGACAUUUUCCUUGUUACAAAAUGAGCUCCGGUUUGAUUUGAAGGAAUUUGGAUCAUGAAAUGGAGCCUGAUCGGACGUCAUCACAUCAGCAUUUAUGCCUAUACCACCAAUGUCAGUAGAGUAACAUUUUUUCACACACAAAUGGAGACCCAAAUUCGUUAGGAUGAGAGGAUGCCAUAUGCAAUGUCUCAAUCAGGAUCUUAGUGUUCCCAAUCAUGGUUGUUGUACAUGAAAGAUUUACUUGAGCCAUAAACAGGAUGGUUGCGGGAGAAAAAUAAGUACAAUGAUUUGGCGUUUUCAAUGCUUUGAACUGAUGAGAAUUCUUCAAGCCUACCUAUAGCCACUAGGGCUCCUAUCAAAAUUCAUUUCCAUUAUUAUCUUACUCAUACAAUAUUCACACCAUGUAA